rnacentral:lncRNA from 1 species
UCAUGAGCACACACAGUCCGGAGUCUCCGACACUGCUUUGUUUCCCCUGCUCUAUCCAUGGGGCCACCUCUCACUUUCCCAAAAGAGAGGGCAGGGCAUCAGCCGUCUCACAGACAGCAGAGCAGAUGCCUGACCAUACCCUCGAGCAGCUUCAGAGAAGUAUUUAUGCCCCGAAGCGGUUUCUUCAGGUGACCAGAGGAAGGGUAACCGAGGGCCGGGAUGGGGCUAGGAGGCCUCGUAUAACUGUGGGAACUGUGGCUGGAGGGUGUCAGAGAGAGAACGCGGAAUUCCAGUCCAGUGUGGAAGUGAGACACCCAUCUCAGGCAGAGAAUCUCACCAAAAUAGAGAAGAAGCUCAUGCUCCUGGAAGAAACAGCCCGAGGAGAGCCGCUGGGCCACAUCUGGCCACUGUCCACAGCGCUGUCAGAUCCGAGGAGAGCCGCUGAGUCACAUCUGGCCACUGUCCGCAGCGCUCGCAUCUGGCCACUGUCCACAGAGCUCACAUCUGGCCACCGUCCGCUGCGCUCACAUCUGGCCACCGUCCGCUGCGCUCACAUCUGGUCACCAUCUGCAG